rnacentral:rRNA from 1 species
UCAGAUUGAACGCUGGCGGCAGGCCCUAACACAUGCAAGUCGAGCGGUAGCACAGAGAGCUUGCUCUCGGGUGACGAGCGGCGGACGGGUGAGUAAUGUCUGGGAAACUGCCUGAUGGAGGGGGAUAACUACUGGAAACGGUAGCUAAUACCGCAUAACGUCGCAAGACCAAAGUGGGGGACCUUCGGGCCUCAUGCCAUCAGAUGUGCCCAGAUGGGAUUAGCUAGUAGGUGGGGUAAUGGCUCACCUAGGCGACGAUCCCUAGCUGGUCUGAGAGGAUGACCAGCCACACUGGAACUGAGACACGGUCCAGACUCCUACGGGAGGCAGCAGUGGGGAAUAUUGCACAAUGGGCGCAAGCCUGAUGCAGCCAUGCCGCGUGUAUGAAGAAGGCCUUCGGGUUGUAAAGUACUUUCAGCGAGGAGGAAGGCGUUAAGGUUAAUAACCUUGGUGAUUGACGUUACUCGCAGAAGAAGCACCGGCUAACUCCGUGCCAGCAGCCGCGGUAAUACGGAGGGUGCAAGCGUUAAUCGGAAUUACUGGGCGUAAAGCGCACGCAGGCGGUCUGUCAAGUCGGAUGUGAAAUCCCCGGGCUCAACCUGGGAACUGCAUUCGAAACUGGCAGGCUAGAGUCUUGUAGAGGGGGGUAGAAUUCCAGGUGUAGCGGUGAAAUGCGUAGAGAUCUGGAGGAAUACCGGUGGCGAAGGCGGCCCCCUGGACAAAGACUGACGCUCAGGUGCGAAAGCGUGGGGAGCAAACAGGAUUAGAUACCCUGGUAGUCCACGCCGUAAACGAUGUCGACUUGGAGGUUGUGCCCUUGAGGCGUGGCUUCCGGAGCUAACGCGUUAAGUCGACCGCCUGGGGAGUACGGCCGCAAGGUUAAAACUCAAAUGAAUUGACGGGGGCCCGCACAAGCGGUGGAGCAUGUGGUUUAAUUCGAUGCAACGCGAAGAACCUUACCUACUCUUGACAUCCAGAGAACUUAGCAGAGAUGCUUUGGUGCCUUCGGGAACUCUGAGACAGGUGCUGCAUGGCUGUCGUCAGCUCGUGUUGUGAAAUGUUGGGUUAAGUCCCGCAACGAGCGCAACCCUUAUCCUUUGUUGCCAGCGGUUCGGCCGGGAACUCAAAGGAGACUGCCAGUGAUAAACUGGAGGAAGGUGGGGAUGACGUCAAGUCAUCAUGGCCCUUACGAGUAGGGCUACACACGUGCUACAAUGGCAUAUACAAAGAGAAGCGACCUCGCGAGAGCAAGCGGACCUCAUAAAGUAUGUCGUAGUCCGGAUUGGAGUCUGCAACUCGACUCCAUGAAGUCGGAAUCGCUAGUAAUCGUAGAUCAGAAUGCUACGGUGAAUACGUUCCCGGGCCUUGUACACACCGCCCGUCACACCAUGGGAGUGGGUUGCAAAAGAAGUAGGUAGCUUAACCUUCGGGAGGGCGCUUACCACUUUGUGAUUCAUGACUGGGGUGAA